GUUAGAACUUUUUUAAAUGGGAAAGAAACUUUACCUUUGUCUGUUCUCUUGGCUGCAGGGAGAGCAGCAAUGCUGUGUAAGGUUUGAACCAGCACAGAUACCUCUUAACAAUGACCCUGCGUGGGAAUGGUCAUCUGAGUAGCAAAAUUCCUAGGAAAUUAGAAGAGGUAACUUGCCUUGUAAGAAAUCCUGGCACAGGGCACUAGUGGCAGAAAUAGAAGUACUGUCCUUAUUUACAGCAUAUUGCAUAGGC